AUUGAACGCUGGCGGCAGGCCUAACACAUGCAAGUCGAACGAGCGGCGGCCGGGUGAGUAAUGUCUGGAGAUCUGCCUGAUGGAGGGGGAUAACUACGGGAAAAGGUAGCUAAUACCGCAUACCAUCAGAUAGACCCAUAUGGGAUUAGCUUGUAGGUAAGGUAACGGCUUACCUAGGCGACGAGCCCUAGCUGGUCUGAGAGGAGUAUAAGCCAAACUGGGACGGGUACACGGCCCAGACUCCUACGUGAGGCAGCAGUGGGGAAUAUUGCACAAUGGGCGCAAGCCUUAUGCAGCCAUGCCUCGUGUAUGAAGAAGGCCUUCGGGUUGUAAAGUACUUUCAGUGGGGAGGCGUUACCGGCAGAAGAAGCACCGGCUAACUCCGUGCCAGCAGCCGCGGUAAUUC
rnacentral:rRNA from 1 species